rnacentral:misc_RNA from 1 species
UCGUAACAAGGUUUCCGUAGGUGAACCUGCGGAAGGAUCAUUACCGAGUGAGGGCCCUCUGGGUCCAACCUCCCACCCGUGUUUAUUUUACCUUGUUGCUUCGGCGGGCCCGCCUUUACUGGCCGCCGGGGGGCUCACGCUCCCGGGCCCGCGCCCGCCGAAGACACCCCCGAACUCUGUCUGAAGAUUGCAGUCUGAGUGAAAACGAAAUUAUUUAAAACUUUCAACAACGGAUCUCUUGGUUCCGGCAUCGAUGAAGAACGCAGCGAAAUGCGAUACGUAAUGUGAAUUGCAAAUUCAGUGAAUCAUCGAGUCUUUGAACGCACAUUGCGCCCCCUGGUAUUCCGGGGGGCAUGCCUGUCCGAGCGUCAUUGCUGCCCUCAAGCCCGGCUUGUGUGUUGGGCCCCGUCCCCCGAUCCCGGGGGACGGGCCCGAAAGGCAGCGGCGGCACCGCGUCCGGUCCUCGAGCGUAUGGGGCUUUGUCACCCGCUCCGUAGGCCCGGCCGGCGCCUGCCGAUCAACCCCAAAUUUUUAAUCCAGGUUGACCUCGGAUCAGGUAGGGAUACCCGCUGAACCUAAGCAUAUCA